rnacentral:rRNA from 1 species
CCUACGGGAGGCAGCAGUGGGGAAUAUUGGGCAAUGGAGGAAACUCUGACCCAGCGACGCCGCGUGCGGGAUGAAGGCCUUCGGGUUGUAAACCGCUUUCAGUAGGGAAGAAGCGAAAGUGACGGUACCUACAAAAGAAGCACCGGCUAACUAUGUGCCAGCAGCCGCGGUAAUACAUAGGGUGCAAGCGUUGUCCGGAAUUAUUGGGCGUAAAGAGCUCGUAGGUCGUUUGUUACGUCGGAUGUGAAAACCUGAGGCUCAACCUCAGGCCUGCAUUCGAUACGGGCAAACUAGAGUUUGGUAGGGGAGACUGGAAUUCCUGGUGUAGCGGUGGAAUGCGCAGAUAUCAGGAGGAACACCAAUGGCGAAGGCAGGUCUCUGGGCCAAUACUGACACUGAGGAGCGAAAGUCUGGGGAGCGAACAGGAUUAGAUACCCUGGUAGUCCAGACCGUAAACGGUGGGCACUAGUUGUGGGAACCUUCCACGGUUUCUGCGACGCAGCUAACGCAUUAAGUGCCCCGCCUGGGGAGUACGAUCGCAAGAUUAAAACUCAAAGUGAAUGCGNGNGAGAGCGACGAGACGACGACGAGGAGAG